CAGACAUUUAAAAAAAUUUUUUAGUCAAAUCUGCCUUUUAUGGUUGCUACCUUUGCUUAUCUUUGCAAUUUUGAUUCCAAGAUUGUAUUAAUUUUCACCAGUAUUUUAUUCUUAUACUUUCAUUGUUUCUUUUAAACAAUUAAAUCUGUGAUCCAGGUGGAAUUUAUUUUUGAAACUACCCCAGAAUCAUUUAUUGGGAAAUCUAUCCUUUCUCUACUGUUACAAAAUGCCAUUUUCACUACAUACGCAAUUCUUAUAUAUUGUUAAGCAUGCUUCUGAACUUUCUCUUGUGGUCUGUUUGCACAUUCUGGCGCUGGUACCACAUUGUUUGAUCAUCGCAGAUUUAGACUAAAUGUCCCCAUUAAUUAAACUUCUUCAAAAAUGUCCUAGUACUUUUUGUAUAUUAAUCUUUCCAAAAGAAAUUCAAGAUCAUUUUGUAAUGUUUAGAAGAAUUGGAAAUUGGAUUGUGUAAAAUGCAUAGGUUACUAUAGGGAGAAUUAACAUCUUUGUAAUAUUUAACCUUUCAUUUAAGUAAAUUUAUAAAGUAUUAUGUCCCUCAGUGUAUUUUUUAUAGUAUAGGUAAUUUUUUGUAGUUGUGGUUACUAUGGUAAAUGAGUUGUUUUGUCCAUUAUAUUUUCUAGCUGCUUGUUAGUAUAAAGGUAUACCAUUACUUUUUUUAAAAAAAAAUUGGGAGGAGGGUAUAGCUCAAGUGGUAGAGUGCAUGCUUAGCAUAUAAAAGAUCCUGGGUUCAAUCCCCAGUAUCUCCUCCAAAAAUAAAUAAACUUAAUUACCUCCCCCCACCAAAAUAAAAUAAUACUUUAUAAAAAAAUUAAGUCCACUGAUUUUUCUGACUUAAAAUGUUGUAAGUUGUGGAAAUGUAAACAUUAUGAAAAAACAUAAUCUAGAAAUUGAAAGUUGUCCAUAAUUAAAAUUCCUCUGCCCCAAGAUAAAGUCAAUAGUUGAUGCAUAGUCCUCAGUUUUUUUUCCUAAAAUAGGUUUUAGCAUUUUGACCGUAUGAUACCACCCUUCUACUGCUUGCAUUUCUCACUUGGCGAUAGAUCUUGGACAUCUUCCUGUCAGUACAUAUCAAUCUACCUCAUUCUUCUUAACUCUGCAUAGAGAGUGGUGUCAUUGUUUGCUGGCUUGUUUAACUUGGCAGUUGGUUACUUAUUUAUUCUGUAACUAGCCAAUUACUGAAUUUCCUUUCAUUUUAAUAGUUUUAUUGUUAAUAAUUCUUCUGCUUUUUCAGGUAGAUAAGAAGUUCUGAGUUGUGAUAAUUUUACCUCCAUAUUUUUAAUUAUCUUAUUUCACUUCCUUAUCACAUUGACCAGCAAUCUUAGGACAAUGUUAAAUAACACGUCUAUAAAUUGUGCUGAUAUUGUACAUUCUUCUUUAUAUACACUUUUUACUUGGCGAGAAUAUAGUGUUUCUCCACUCUAGAGGAGAAACCGCUACUGUUUCUCCAGAAGUACACAUUUGCCUCUUAAUAUAAGGUAUUCUUAAUAUUUGAAUUUAUAUAUUAAAGUCAUACACUUCUCUUCUUAGUUUGCUGAACGUUUUAUCAGUAAUGGGUGUUGUAAUUUUAUUAAAUGCCUUUUUUCACAUCUGUCAAAAUGAUCGAAUGGUUUUUAUCAUGAAUUAAUAAGAAUCAUUUUAAUAGAUUUGCUAAUGUUAAACCCUCUCUACAUUUCUAGAAAAAUUUUAUUUAGUCAUGAUAUAUUGUUCUUCCAGGAUAUAUCUCCACUCAGUGUUAACAGUGGUUAUUUAUGAUGAGUUGGUUUAUGGUAGAUUUUUAUUUUGUGUUCUUAUCUGUAUUUUCUGAUUUUUCUACACGGUUCUUGUAUUACUUGUAUGAUGAAAAUAAGAGCUUUAAAAUAAGAAAAAUACUCUGGAUUUGGUUUGCUCAUAUUAUUUUGGAAUUUUGUUUAUGUUAAGAUGGAUAGUUGUAUAGUUUUUUCUGCUGUCUUUGUCGGGUAUUGGUGUUAGGUUUGUGUUAGCUUCUUUAAAAAAAAAAAAACUUGGGAAACGUGCUCUCUUUUUUCUAUGCCCUUAAACAGUUUAAUAUUUAGAAGUUUUUGCUCCUUGAAGUUUUUGUAACAUGUAUAAAUCUGUCCAAGUCUAGUGCCUUUUUAGGAAAUAAUUCUUUGACAACUUUUUCAAUCUUAUUCCAUGCUCAUUAGCUUCUUUGAACUUUCUUCCUAUUCUGUAAGUUUUUGGCAAUUUAAAUUUCCUAUAUGAUGACUCUGUUAAGAUUUUCAAAUUUGCUCACAUGGAGUUACUGUAUUCUCUUCUCUCAUCCAUAAUGUCAUGUCUGUGCUUUCCCUUUUUAUUGAUUAGUUUUUCAGAAUUAGCCUAUUUUAUUGGCCUUUUCAAAGAACCAACUCUGGGACUUAUAUCUUAGUUUAUUGUUUUACCAUUUUAUGAUUUUUUUUUUUGGUUUGUUUUCAUUUUUAUUAAUUUCCUUUAUUUCAUUGUUUUUUUCACCUUCUCAAGUUGAAUGCCAUUUUAACCUUUUCUUGUUUAUAGUAGAUACAUUUGCUAGCAAUCAUAAGGCUAUAUGACUUUUCUUCUAUUUCUUUAUCCAUAUCCCUUAAAUUCUUAGGUAUGAUAUUCUAAGUUAUAAAUAAUUUGUAAUUUCAGAUUUGACUUUAUUUCAGAUUUGACUUUAUUUUUUUCUGAAGUUAUUUGAAAUUAUACUUUUAAAUUUCUAGGUAGUUUGAUAACUUUUCGUUGUUUUUUAACAUUUGUUAUAAAUUUCUAGUUUUACUGCCUUGCUGUCAAAAAGGGUAUGGCCUGUACAAGCUUCUGCAUUUUAGAGUUUAUUGAUAUUUUCUUGGGACUUAAUAAAUUGUUCAUUUUAGUAAAUAUUCCCAGGAAACUGAAAAAGAUGGUAUAUUCUCUGACGGGAACACAAUUCAACCUACAUGUAUUGAUUUGACCUUAUUAAUUAUAAUAUUGUGGGCCUUUAAUCUUUGCUCACUUGAUACAUUGAAGACUGAGGAAAGUGUGUUAGUCUCCCACUACUGCUGUGUUUCUGUCUGUUUCUCUUGUGUUUCUAACGGUUUUUGCUUUAUGUGUUUCAGUACGAUGUUAUUUGGCAAGUCAUCUUUUUAUACUUAAGGGAAAAAAUAUUUUCCUUUAAAGACUUGUAUACCUUUGUGGAUUUUAUCUGAUUUUGUUGUAAAAGAGUUGUUUAUGUAGAAAUACAUAGUUCAGUAAAAUGUUUGUGUCUGUUUUUAAGUGAACAAAAAUCUUUCAGAAGCCCUUUGUGUAUUAAGUUAUUUUGGAAACCCUGGAUCUCCCCAGGGGUAGGUUGAUGUUUUCCAGGGCGACUUCCUGAGCCAAAGCAUGGAUGGUUGAGGCACAGAAGCCUUUGGAACACAAUGAGGGUUUUUGAGGAUGCCAGCAUUUCUGAUUCCUGCUUUGGGGCAGCCCUGUGCUUGGUAUGCUUAGAGGACACCUGCCCUCCAGUCUGUCACAUUCCGCCUAGACGGGGCCGAUAACCAAAGCUUUUCUAAACCCAAGAGACACUUUUCUCCUGCAGGGCUGCCCUUCUGAGCAGAAGGCAGCAGAGUGUAUAUGCUUGUGUUCCUGGCUAUUGGGGGAAAAGCUAAUCUCAGAAACUCAUUCUACCAGAAAAGAUUUUUCCAGAGCUAUUUGAGCAGAUUAUUCAGAUGGCAAAGUCUGUGCCAGGCAGAGGACCAACUUUUCCCAAACAUGUGGAGGAGGUGUGAAUCUCAACGCACAGCUCAGGAGGGAAAGAAAUACCACCUUCUCUAUUUUCCCUUCAUUCAAGUAAAUUUCUGUUUUGAGCCUUCGUUCUACCAGGCUCAUGCACUUUGAUCUCAGUCAGUCCUGGGACCUCCUUUUCUCCAGAUGUGAACCUCUGAAGGCUGGGGCCUGCAUCUUUCCAGGAUUGUUGGGGGAAGAGGUCCGUAUCUGUUGAGACGGCCCCUGUUCCUGCUCCGCCCUCUCACUCCUCUUCCUCUGUGUCAGGCUUGCACCCUUGGGAAUACCGGAAUUGCUCUGAUAUUCUGGUGCUGCAGACAUCUCCCUGAGGCUGUCCUAGACCCCGACUGCCUAGGCCCUCUGUGCAGCCAUCCCCUGUGUGACAGCAGAGGUUUGGGGUGGAGGGUGAUUUAACUUGAAGGCACUGCUAGGUGAGCCAGUGCAUGUUUGCACGAGAGCCCACUACUGAGUGGAAGUGACUCUGUGGCCCCGCUGCCUGCUUGCUUUGCAGGCAGUCUGCAGCCUUGGGGGAGGGCUCUGGCGCCCAGCGCUGCAGAAACCACACCAAAUCAGGUCCUGUGUUUUCCUUCUCUGGGGCAUUUGGGAAAGUUGACCUCGUUCUUUUGAAAUAAUCCUCCCAUGACUGAAGUUCUCCUUCCCAGUUCUUGUCUUUCCCCGACCUCUCCUCCCCCACCUCCUCCUGCCGUGUAGUGUGGGGGUCUCCGAGGAUCCGACCUGGGUCACCUUCCCGUGACACGCUCACCCCCACCACCGCCUCCAGUCUCCGGGACAGAGGCAGCUCCUCACAUUCCCCUUUGUCCAGUGCUGCCCCCUCCCCCACCGAUCCUUGACCGUGGCACCACCGCCCCCCAAGUGUCAGCACCAUCUUUAUGUCCCUGCCCUUGCAGCUGGCACAGUGAGCCACAGUCUUGGGCUUCUUCCUCUGGUCAUCCUGAUCUCUUCGCUUAUCUCUGCCUCUUCUCACCAGGCUGUCCCUGUCCUAGUCCUGAUCUGCUCACUCCAGGAUCUCCUCCACCUUCGCCACCCUCUUAUGUAAAGCUGCCAGAGGCCUCUUCCUACAGCUUGGGUCAAGUUCUGGCGCUGUCUCUCCAUCUUCCCCCGUGAGGUCACACCAGCCACUUCCCUGGUCCUGCCCAGGCCUUGCUGUUGCCUUCUCUGUGGUUUUUUGUUCCUGAUCUUCCCCUGCCUGGAAUCCUUCCCCUCUUCCAACCUGAGCCCUCUUCUUAGACCCAGCUCAAAGGCCUGGGCCCUCCCGAUUAAAAUCACCCACUCCAGGGGACUUCUCUCAUGCUUCUUACAUAGCUCUUCCCACCCGCACGGCCCGCAAAUCACUAAUUCGUGUGCUUACUUAACAGAUACUUCUUGAGCCCCGUUAUGCCCCAGGCCCUGGGAACACAAAGGUGAAAAGACACAGAUACUGUCCACAGAUGUGUUAGACUCCGGUGGAGAGGCGAGAUGAUACGUCGCAGGUGCUAAUGGAACUCAGCAGACGGGGGAUUUGUGAGGCUUCCCUCAAGCAGGGCUCUCACAGGUGACCAGGAACAGGAGUUCAGGGGACACCCAGCUUCUCCAGAGCUGGGGUGAGCCCUGGCCACUCUGUGGACUUUGUGAGACAUCAGGUUCCAGGGCCUGGAAGGAACCCGCAGUGACUCUAAGGAUGCCUGCCUCCCCCUCCCCUCGCCACAGCCCCCUCAUUUCCUGGCUGACUUGUGUGUAUUCGUGUUUUUCUAAGGCUGGUCUGCACACCAGCUGCUUCAGAGCUGUCUGGGGUUUCCCAGAAAAACCUCCUGGAUUAGCACCGUUGUGGGGCGGGCCUGGCAGUGUGCGUUUUAGCAAGCUCCUGGGCUAGACAAGAUGAUGGCUCCCCAAAGACAUCCACACCCCAAUCCCUGGAAGCAGUAAAUAGGUUACCUUACAUGCCAGAAGGGACCCUACAGGUGUGAGUACGGUUAGGGACCUGCAGAGAGGGAGAUUAUCCUGGAUUUUCUUGGGAGGGGGGCAGUCUAAUCACAUGAGUUCUUAAAAGCAGAGAACCUUUCCUGAGUGGGAUCAGAAAGAGAUACGGUUACGAAGAGUCGGAGAGAGGCAACGUUGCUGGCUUUGAAGAUAAACGAAGGGGCCACGAGUCAAGGGACAGAGGCAGCCUCUAGACGCUGGACAAGGAAACAGCUUCUCCCCUGGAGCCUUCAGAAAGCCACGCAGCCCAGUGAGACCCAUGCCAGACUUUGGACCUAUGGAACAGUAAGCCAGAGUCUGGACUCAGUUCAAGUCUUGGCUGGAAGAAGGGAGAAACGAGGGAGAGAAGUUUCCAGAGGAGGAGUUUUCAUGCACUGAAGACAGUCGGUGAAAUGAGCCGUGUGUGUGAGUUGAACAGGGCUCCCCACACUGUGAGCGCUACACCAGGCUGGGAACGCGGCGCCCCCACAGAGACCUGCCAUGUCUAGACCCAGGCACGUGAGCUCUCAAUUUCACUUACACAGUGUUGCUACAGACCCUGUGGAAAUGAGCUAUCUAGUUUCCACUUAAUAGUGUGGACAUGUUCAUCUGUACCUGGUUCUAGGUACAGGGGAACCUUGAACUCAGAAUAGCCAGAAUACACAUUAACCAGAACCACAGUUUGGAACUGUUAUAUUGCUACAAUUCACAUCACCUAUCACAUACCCUUCCCUGCAUGUUCUAGGUGGAGGUACUCAAGCAUAGUCUUUAUAACAAGUGUGUACACAGCAUUUUGACUGGAUUUAUCUAUCACACAUGCAAAUACACCCCAAAGCAGUGGGCUCUGAGUCUGGGCAGAUUUCAGCCAGUCUCCUUCAUAGUCAAUGUCUAAGCUAUAAUUAGAAUUAUAGCCCUCAUUAAACAAAGAAAUAUUCAAGUAUAUUCAGUGUACUAUACUUGCAAAAUGCAAAAAGCUAUCCACUGACCUUUGGACCCCUCAGUUUUAGAAAGAUUUCCCACAGCAAGGUUUCUCAGUCUACCAGUUGGUCUGCAAGAAGAGCCUUCCAUACUCUAACAUUCCUCCAAGACAAUUCGCAACCAAUAUGCUGCUUGAGAUGCAACAAUUUAACUCUAUAAAGGACUCAGAGAUGCAACAGUACGCUUAAUUCAAAGCAACACUGAAGCAUAUUCCAAUGGCA